AAAUGAAUAGACGGGGGCCCGCACAAGCAGUGGAGUAUGUGGUUUAAUUCGACGCAACGCGAAGAACCUUACCAAGGCUUGACAUAUACAGGAAUACUAUAGAAAUAUAGUAGCUCUUCGGAGCUUGUAUACAGGUGGUGCAUGGUUGUCGUCAGCUCGUGUCGUGAGAUGUUAGGUUAAGUCCUGCAACGAGCGCAACCCCUAUUUUCAGUUGCCAGCACGUAAUGGUGGGAACUCUGAAGAGACUGCCGGUAAUAAAUCGGAGGAAGGUGGGGAUGACGUCAAAUCAUCAUGCCCUUUAUGUCUUGGGCAACACACGUACUACAAUGGCCGCUACAGAGAGACGCAACACAGUGAUGUGAAGCAAAUCCCUAAAAUCGGUCUCAGUUCGGAUUGAAGUCUGAAAUUCGACUUCAUGAAGUCGGAAUUGCUAGUAAUGGCAGGUCAGCAUACUGCCGUGAAUACGUUCCCGGGCCUUGUACACACCGCCCGU
rnacentral:rRNA from 1 species